rnacentral:rRNA from 2 species
UACGUAGGGGGCAAGCGUUAUCCGGAUUCAUUGGGCGUAAAGCGCGCGUAGGCGGCUUGUUAAGUCAGGUGUGAAAACCGGGGGCUCAACCCGCGGCCUGCACCUGAAACUGGCAGGCUUGAGUCUGGUAGAGGGAAAUGGAAUUCCGAGUGUAGCGGUGAAAUGCGCAGAUAUUCGGAAGAACACCAGUGGCGAAGGCGGUUUCCUGGGCCACGACUGACGCUGAGGCGCGAAAGCUAGGGGAGCGAACAGG